rnacentral:lncRNA from 1 species
CGGCCGCGCUGCCCCCACCGCCGCCCCUCGGGCCGCUCCACCGCGCUCCCCCCGCCCGCCCCGCGCGGACCCCUCAGCCCCUCGGGCGGAGCAGAGCCGCGCGGCGCUCACCUGGCGUUGGUGCAGUCGUUGUACAAAGUUUCGAAGUCCUUCCUGGUGAUGAGCUUGCAGCGGUUGACGCCGGGCUGGAUGGCCCCCAGCCCGCGCAGGAUGCGGACCUGCUCCACCGUGCAGACCACGGGCGAUAUAUCCAGCCGCUUCAGCUUGGUGUACACCGUGUGCAGCCCUCCCACAAGGUCGACCAUCUUACACUCGUU